rnacentral:lncRNA from 1 species
GGACACGCAGAGGUGACAGCCGUGGGACAGGCGGGUGGGAGCUCACAGGAAGAGCUGAAACCCCUGGAGAGCCAGGGCUGCCAGGGGGGGAUGGUGACCGGUGCCUGCUAAAUUUAGCCCCCACUGAUGAAAAAAAAAAAAAAAAAAAAAAAAAAAUUUUUUUGCAAGCUCCAAAUUUAGCCGGAUGCAGCUCGCACUGAGCACCACUCCAUCGCUGCCUGCACCCCUUCAGCCCCGGCAGCAUGGAGUGGCAUUGUCCCUUUGAGUCCCCAGAGGGCCACAGCUGGCCAGGAAUGACCCCCAGGCAGGCCAGGAGCAGCUGAGGAGUUCAUGACCAUCUUUAUUGGAGGCAAGGCCACAGCAGCCGGGCGCACACGGCAGGACACGCGACGGACACCACUCCAUGCACCACCACGGGACACACGGACACACACAGGGACUGGCCGAGCCCCUGGGGCUCCAGCUGGGGCUCCCCAGUGCCCAGGGGCUCGUUUGGGGGCUCGGUUCCACCCCGUGCCCUUGGGAGCUGGGCUGGACUGGGAGGCACUGGGGAAUGGGGGGAUAAAGGCUUCAGGUGCCCCCCAGCUGCAAUGGCUUCAUCCUCCCUGCACCAGGGACAGCUGGCACGGAGCCCAGCCCCUGACCUUUCCACCAUCAGGGUAAGGAGGUGGGAGUGGAGCCCCAGCCCCUUCUGGGUCCCUCUGGGGCUCAGAACAUUUGCACCAUCAGGCUGAGAAGGUGGGAGCUGCAAUCCCAGCCCCUCCUGGGCUCAGGAGCUUUGCUCCAUCAGGGUGAGGAGCAGGUGGGAGCAGGCAGGCCUGCUGGCCCAGGCCUUUGGCAGUGUGGGAGCAGAUGGAGCCCCUGGGGCAGGGAUCACCUCCCUGGCCACCAAAGGGGUGUCUGGCUGGAGCCUGGCAGUGCUGCUGCUGGUGUGUCACUGUCCCAUGGCCCAGAGUGUGGCCCUGGGCUCGCUGUGCCCUGCAGGACGUGCUGAGUGCUCAGCCCUGAUUCCAGCCCAAGGCAGCAGGGACAGGCUCAGUGCCCUCCCAGCUCUGCCAGCACAGCCCAGCAGAGCCCCCAGGGCUGCUCUCUGCCCAGAGCCCAGCAAACUGUGACGGGGACAAGGGGCAGGGAAACCACAGCUCACUGCCCAUGCACUGCUGAUCCCCAUCUGGGACAAAACCCUGCCUUGAGGGCAGGGAAACAGAACCAAACCUGCUGGCCUGGUGUGCUGCCAUCCCCCAGAUUGUCACCC